rnacentral:rRNA from 1 species
UACGUAGGGGGCGAGCGUUGUCCGGAAUCAUUGGGCGUAAAGAGCUCGUAGGCGGCUCAAUAAGUCGGGUGUGAAACCCCCAGGCUCAACCUGGGGACGCCACCCGAUACUGUUGUGGCUAGAGUCCAGUAGGGGAGUGUGGAAUUCCCGGUGUAGCGGUGAAAUGCGCAGAUAUCGGGAGGAACACCAGCGGCGAAGGCGGCACUCUGGGCUGGUACUGACGCUGAGGAGCGAAAGCGUGGGUAGCAAACAGGAUUAGAAACCCUGGUAGUCC